AUUCCUGGGGAGGAACAAUCCACAAUACACACCACUGCUCUCCACCUGUCCUCUGACUUCUAGUGACCCUUUGCCACCACCCAUCCAGUGGUGCUGAUGGAACUGGUUGUGGUUCAUGCUGCAAACGAGGUCGCUGAGAUGGCUCCACGCGCUGACAGCACACAAGACUGUGGCAUGGCAGAGAAAUGAGUAGCUCUUGGGAGGAGGCUGCCUUCUCGCUACAACCCUGGGAUAGGAGCCUGGUAUUGAGUGUGUGUGCACGUGUGCAGCAACAGGCUAAAGCCUUGCCGGUGGACAGGCAUCAGUAAAUGCUCCUGGGCUGGAUAUGAAGAGCAGUGGGGGAGUGAACUCCCUGCUCGCAGCUGAGGAAGAAGAAACGUUGUACUUCUCCCAGGCUGGAUCCUGUACACAGGUCACCCAAUUCCCACCAAGCUUCUUUGGCUCCAGCCUGGACUUCGCUUCCUCUCCCAUAGCUGAUAUCCUUCACGCUUGUGUGCCAUUUUGAAGCGAUCAUGGUGAAGGAAUUUUGUCUGCUCUUAACAGGCUUAGAGGUAUUUUGAGUGCGCCGGGGAGACAUUGCUUAGUACGGUCCACCUACAGAGAUAAUUCAGGGAACGAAGAUUCAGCUUGUCCUGCAAAAUCAGGAGUUCAAUUGGGGUUCAGGAGUUGUCCUCAGUCAGCAGGGGCUCUCCUGGCAUUUUCAGUGAGAUUUUUUUUUUGUAGCGUAUGACUCUGAAGUGCUCUAAUCACAGGAAAGGACAACCGGAAACCUCCCCUCAGGAGAACUGGUCAGUGGGAAGGGCUGGCCUAGCAGAAGCAAACAAAAAAAUGUUUUAAUUGCCUGAGAGGGAAGGAGGGAGGGAGAGCUGGCGGUGUGGCGCUCAUUGAGACUGCUGAAUGUCCCUAGGAGGUCAGAGGAGCGUGGUGGGAUUCUGGUGCUCUGCGCCAUUUUCGUGUUUAUCUUGUGAGUAAUCUUUUGUUGAACAGCCGGAUCCUCUGCACUCCAGGAACAUGAACAUCUGAACACUGUGCAGCAUUCCAGGAUAUUGCCACCAACUGUGCUUCAUACUCAAGGAAACUUCAAAAGCCUGUAUUUACUCACCCCUCUUUGUAGGACUGCAGUAGCACAUUUAGCUCUGAAGGCACUGUGAUAUUUGUGUCUAAACCAUGAACCCUGAGUUGGAAAAUCUCUGAAACAAUCAAAAGUAACUGCUACGAGGUGAACAUCCAUCUGGAACCCUGCACUUGGUGCAUGCAGCUUGCUGCUUCGUCACUUUGGGUCUGGGUUUUACUUCCUUUUUGCAGUUUUUGUGCUUUGUUCUCUCAUCAUGAGAGAUCUGGAUAGCUCCUGGUACAGGGAGUCUUCUAGGCAGUCGAGGACUUCCUGAGAGUGGCAACAUGAACACAUGGGAUGAGAUCAUGUUCUCCCUCUGGCCUUACGGCUUCCAACAGAGCUGCUGUAUCUGAAAGUUUUGGGGCUGGAUGUGUCAGACGGGCGUGCUGAGGAGAUGAUACAGAGUUCUGCUGCACUAAUCCCUCUCCAGAAUGGUACCAGAACAGUAACUUGCUACAGCAGCUUAGACUUUGUGCAUUAGACGGUCUUACUAAUCACACUGAGGUUGUUCAAUUUCUGUAGUGAUAUGAGUAUAAGGAAUACUUCCCUUGUCACAGCAGUUAUUGAUGUUACUGGAGGGACAUUGUACAUCCAAAAUAACACCAGCCAAAACAAGAAAGGUGUUCAGAUGAGAAUAGGACUGUUUAGGAGGAGACUGUGUGUGUGUUCAAAUUCAGCUUAUUUCAGUGCAGAUUUCCAGUGCUAACAAGUGAACUGAUUUGUUAUAGAAAAGCUGCUGGAAAUAAUCAUCAGAACUGAUGAUCCGUUCUGCAUUUGGUUUUCUUAAUAUGUAAAAUAUGGAGAAAUACAACAAAAUAUUUGGAAUUGGAGGAAAUUCUAAUGCCUCUGUGCUGUCUUGACAGCAAUUAUCUCAGCACACUGUGUAUAAAGUUUCCUAGAAAUAUCCAACUGUUAAUGAUACGUUUAAGCUCCUGUACUUCGUAAUGUCAAAUGAUCCAUCAAUUGAAAUUAGUAGAUUUUGAUCCCUGUGGUGUCAGAGAGGAAUAAUUAAAAUAGAUGAUAGAAGGCUUGUAGCAUCUAAAUGGUGUGUUCAAAACCAGUGCUGGCCAGUGAACGGCUACCAAAAGCCUAUAAAUGAAGUCAGUUCAGCUCAGCUCAGGCUUAUUGGAAUGGGAUAGAGGCCCAUCCCUGCCUUUUGCCGGGUUGAGUGUUGAGAAGUGGAGACAACCUGUGUCUUACCAGGACCUUUCUGUAGCAGUGUAGACGUGGAGUAGGGGAAUCUUGUUCACCCUAUCUUGUGUGUUGGUUCUGUAAAAUACUGAUGCAACUCAAGCUGAAUGUUACAGGUGACCCAGGGUGAGAGUUACUUCUGUCUGGAAGAAGGACUUUCUUCCUCUUCAUCUCCUUCAUAGCUAUGUAUAUUCUGUCCUUGCUUUGUUUAUGUCCUCUUGAGUUGAUUUACUUCAUUUAUUAAUCUAGUUAUCCCUCACCCACUCCAGAAAGAAAAAAGUAAAGAGUUUUCCACUGACUAAGUCAUGUGAAUCAAUUCAGGAAGGACUCUAACAAGUACUGAGGAAGUGGAAACCUGUGGCAAAAAGCAGCAAGGAGAAAAAAGCAGGGUGACAGAGGGUGUUGAGAUUCACUUUGCAGGAAUAGCUACUUGAGAGUUCUGAUGAGAGCAGUAUGACAAAAAUACUAAGAAAAGAAGAUGGUCCAACUCUGAUUUUAAUUAUGUUUUAUUUCAGCAUUUGGCAUUUGGAAGUUCUCAGAGAUCUGCAUCUGAGGACAUAGUGUAGGUGACUGUGCAGGAGGAAAACUGAGGUAAGGUGAAUACAGCUGUGGAAUCACAAUGGAAUUUUGUAGAGGCUGAACUCAAUACAUGUAGGUACCUGAACUCUCUGAACAGGUGCUUGAUGGAUGUCUUAACUCUUGACGAAAUGAAAGUCCUUGCAUGUAAGUGAAACCUUCUGUAUAGGAUGUUAACUUAGUUUAGUGCUCCUCUUAUUUAAGUAGAGAACAUAGCUGACUAACUUUAAAAUAUAUUAAAAUCUAAAUAUAAGAUUUCAUCAGAUGUCUAGAUUAGUAAGUGGCAUGAUGAAAUAUAGAGUGUACUGAAGUGUAUGGUGUUAAGACCCAAAAUCCACACUGUGUGCCUUUUAUGAUAUCUUCCUCUCUGCCUGCCAUCCUUCUUCCCUCUACAGUUUGAUCCUGUGAGCUGAAAAGAGUACUAGAUGUGCUCUUAGAGUGUAUCCUCUGGUUUAGUUUUGUCCUAAAGGAAUCCAGUUCGUGCACUCUGAGACCAUCUACAGUGUAAAUCAAAAUACUGUUGGUGGGUACUACCAGAUUUGUUUCUAAUAUGGGUAUCUCUUCCAUAUUGCUAAUGGAGGCACACUCUUUUUCUGAUGAUGUUACUUUAAAAACUAACAUCAGAAAAUACAGUUAAAAUAAAAAUGCUUUCUUUUUCUCAUGCAUUGCUGUGUCUUAUUUUGGAGACAUUGAGGAGCCCUGGGUCUGUUUUGCAAAGUGUGUAGAUUCUGGCAACGGAGGAUUAACGUUUGCUCCUACAAACUUCUGGCAGCAUUUGGAAUUUGUUGUAGUACAUGGUAACCAACAACAUAUGAGAAGGUCUCCAGGCUUGGCUCCCAACAGGUAAACUAAGUGGAAUGGAGUCAAAAUGGAGUUUAAUCAUCACUGUAAGUAUAGGGAAAUGAAAAGAAAUACAGCCCUGAGGAAGCUUUUCUGAAGUCUCCAGCAAAAUUGGUGUUUUAAGAAUAUAGAUCAAUUCCUUUACUGUGCAAUAUUUUAUGAUAUAAUUACGUAACACCUGAUAGAAUACAACGGGAUAUUCUGCCAUGACUUGAGUUGGAGUUAGCUAGACUCUGGUAAAGAAAUCUGGGUAGAAUGACCGUAAUUGUUGCCAUUAAAGGCAAAUCUUUCUUUCUCUCUUUUUUUUUAAGUCCUCAAAGAAGGAAAUGAGGGGUUCACACUAGACGUUAUGGAGAUGCUACAGUGCUGCUUGUACAAUAGAUGCAUUUGGAUCAGUAAUUUCAGUGUAAUCCUUAACACUUUUUUUUUUUUCCUAAACCAGCAGAACAAGAAUACGUUGCUGUGACCUGCUUACCAUCUUGGCAAUAAAUUGCUAGCUUUGGGGGGUCUACAAUUCUUUGUUUGUUAUAUGUAGAUUCAUAGCUACAGAUUCCAGCUGGGAGUUAGAAGACCUACCCAUUCACACGCACAAGAAAAUACAGCAUUUUAGAAGAGCAGUUGCUAUUCCACUUAGUACUUCUAAGUGUUACUGUACUACAAACAAACAAUACCACUGGGCAUACAGCUUGCAAAUCUUGCUCUCAGCUAGUCCAGCUGAGGGAUUACUCACAUACUGAUGCUGAAAGAGCUGUGUAUUGCAGAUUUUUAAUAAAAGCUUUCUUCACUUUA